rnacentral:rRNA from 1 species
AAUGAACGUUGGUGGCAUGGAUUAGGCAUGCAAGUCGAGCGAGAAGGGUUUUGAAGCUUGCUUUGAAACCCGGAAAGCGGCGCAAGGGAGAGUAACGAGUAGUUAUCUACCCCAAGGCCCGGAAUAGCUGCGGGAAACUGCAGGUAAUGCCGGAUAAUAUCCCCGGAUCAAAGGUGUGAUUCCGCCUUGGGAGGAGACUGCUUUGUACUAGCUAGUUGGUAGGGUAAUGGCCUACCAAGGCUACGAUGCAUAGCGGGCGUGAGAGCGUGGCCCGUCUCACUGGGGCUGAAACACUGCCCAGACACCUACGGGUGGCUGCAGUCGAGAAUCUUCGGUAAUGGGCGAAAGCCUGACCGAGCGAUGCCGCGUGCGGGAUGAAGGCCCUCGGGUUGUAAACCGCUGUCGUAGAGGAGAAAGGUCUGGUGAAGAAUCAGAUUUGAUCUAUUCUAGGAGGAAGUCCGGGCUAAGUUCG